rnacentral:rRNA from 1 species
AUGAGUUUCCUUGGUAGGAUACAUGGAGGUGACCCCAGGAUACUGCCAUAUGUGAAGAGGGAUGUUGUGAAUGAACGUGCCAAGCUUCAGGAAGCGAUAACACAACAAGACAUGGAUAUGACAGUGAAGUACUUUGAGAGGAGGAAGGCCGAGAAUCCAGAGUUUUUCUUUGCGAAGCAAAAAGAUCCUGCCACGAACUUUGUGACUGCAUUGUUUUGGGUUGAUGGGAGGGCAAGGGCGUUGUACCCGAAAUAUAAAGAUUGCGUGUUCUUUGACAUAACUUUCUGCACCAACAGAUACAACAUGCCCUUUGGUCCUAUAGUUGGUAUCAACAACCACCUCCAAACCAUUUCACUCGGAUGUGCCUUGUUGCCGGAUGAGAAUAUUGAAACGUUCAAGUGGGUCUUUGAGCAAUGGAUGGUUGCAAUGGACAAUGACCAUCCAAAGAACAUAAUGACUGACCAGGACCAAGCAAUGGCAACAACUAUAGAGUAG